rnacentral:rRNA from 1 species
UAGGGAAUCUUCCGCAAUGGACGCAAGUCUGACGGAGCAACGCCGCGUGAGUGAAGAAGGAUUUCGGUUCGUAAAACUCUGUUGUUAGAGAAGAACAGCGCAUAGAGUAACUGUUAUGCGUGUGACGGUAUCUAACCAGAAAGCCACGGCUAACUACGUGCCAGCAGCCGCGGUAAUACGUAGGUGGCAAGCGUUGUCCGGAUUUAUUGGGCGUAAAGCGAGCGCAGGCGGUUGAUUAAGUCUGAUGUGAAAGCCCCGGCUCAACCGGGGAGGGUCAUUGGAAACUGGUUGACUUGAGUGCAGAAGAGGAGAGUGGAAUUCCAUGUGUAGCGGUGAAAUGCGUAGAUAUAUGGAGGAACACCAGUGGCGAAGGCGACUCUCUGGUCUGUAACUGACGCUGAGGCUCGAAAGCGUGGGUAGCAAACAGG